rnacentral:misc_RNA from 1 species
AUGGUGAUGUCUAUUGUCAAAGAAAAUAGUGGAAGUAUAUAUGUGGUCACAACAGAAGGAAAAAUCAUACAACUAUUGAAUGGUUCGUGGUCCGAGUUGGCGGACGAAUGUAACAAAGAGUUACGCGUUAAACGCAUUAGUUGCUGCUCAACUUCUUUGUGGGCUAUUUGUGGCGAUCAUCAAGUGCAUAUGCGAUUGGAGUCGGAGUUGCCAAUCCGUAUUAGAGAAGAGUCCUACGAAAAUCAAAGAUGGAAUCCUAUUGACGGUUUUUCUAAUAAACUCUUACCCACUGACAGACCAUUUUAUUCAAGCCAAGAUGGCUUAACUGACAGAGACCUCAAAAGAGUUAAGUUGCCUAGCCAAGCAUGGGUAUGGGAUGAACAAUGGCACCUUGAGUUGCUGCAUGAAGGGCAACACCUUGAUGCUGAGGGUUGGAUGUAUGCAGUUGAUUUCCCCCGAGCUUAUUCCAAUACAAAAGCUUGGAACUCCUGUGUGAGGAGGAGGAAAUGGGUACGAAAUCGGCGAUAUAAUGGUCUUCGAACUUGGGUUUCCCUACCCCCAGUGGUACUCAACGAUAUGAUGGAACCAUUCAUCGAUAUUGCAACGGGCGGUGCCGAAAUACCAGGUGCUGUGUCCGGUUUCGUGGCUGUAUGGGCAGUAACAAUUAAUGGUCUUCUACUCUACAGAGAAGGGGUAAAUUUGUUAACGUGUCCCGAUGGUACCAACUGGAAGCAGAUCGAAACACCACAAGGAUGUGAACCGUGCCAAGUCAGUGUAGGUCCUCAAGGAGUCGUCUGGAUUUUGGCUUGGACUGGCCAGUUAUUAACUCGUAACGGAGUGACCUGGAAUUGUGAAACAGGAAUCACUUGGUACGAGGUACCGCCUCCCUUUAAGGGACUAUCUUUCAGUCAUAUAUCAGUGGGACUCAAUUCGACUUGGGCAGUUAGCCGUGAAAAUGAAGUUUGGUUGAGAAAGGGGCUGGACUCGUCCAUACUUGGAUCAAGCUGGACGGCCAUGGUUGGCCAGAUGAACUUGGUUUUUACGGGAUCUGGCAGCCAAGUAUGCGGUCUUUCAAUACAAGACCAAAAAAUUUACUUACGGACAGGCAUAAAAACGGAAGAGUCCGGAGGACGAUCUUGGAAGAUGCUCAAAACGGAUGACAUGACUUUCGUCUGGCUGGCUUUUGAUGGAAAAGGUUGCAUACACCGUCUGGAAGACGGCACUGAUUCUUAUUGGACAGAACCUUGGAGAGCCGAGAUUUUACAGAAGCUGCGUGAACGCCAUAGUGAGUGGCAGGACAAAUUUGCUGAAUAUUCCACGGCAGCUGAAAUUACUGAUUGGAUCAAGAACGGCCGAGUUUUGUUACAUAAUCGUUGGGUCAACCUUGGGUUACGCUGCUGCAGUCAAGAACCCUUACUGGAUGUAGAAGAUUUGCGGCUAUUGGCUGUUGAAAUCACUGCCGUACGACGUACCGGAGAUCUCGGACUAGUUGUCCACCAUCUACAGAAUUCACCAAUAAAGCUUUCCUUUACUAGUGAAGAAGAAGUUGAAGAUUGGGCAGCUCACUUGACGAAGGUGACCCGCGCUUCGCGCCAAUGUAUUGGAAUUUUCGCUCAAUCGGUCUGGGCUUUAACAGACAUGGGCGAUCCCUUUGUUCACGAAUCAAAGGUGGAACCAGAAGCAAAAGAUAUUCCUUACCAAAUUGAAAUGACUUCAAAUGCGGGCAACCAAUCAUCAUUAUUUAUCCGCGAUACUCCAGACGGUUUUUACCGUGGUUGUGGAAUUAUUAUAAGUGGUGCCGUGCCCGCCAAUGCAAAUCGUUUUUCUGUUAACCUCCAGUGCGGUCCAACUAUUCAAACCCAUGAGGUAUUCACAGCCAAGCGUGAUGUUGCCUUACACAUUAAUCCGCGAUUCGAUUCCUGUCCUGGAUCUGUCGAAGUCGUGCGCAACUCGUACUCCAAUAAUCUAUGGGACAUAGAAGAGAAAUCGGGGGUCUUCGACCUGCAACCCGGGAACAGAUUUACCAUAUCCAUUCACUGCCAGAAACAACAAUACCUAGUCAAAAUCAAUGAAGUCGUCUUUACGUUUGCAUAUAGACUUUCUCCUUUCAGCGUAUCUCAUCUGGUCGUUAAAGGCGACGUUAACCUCUUCUCAGUUACCUAUUCAAUUCCCAAAACCUCUAUCCCUUCACAUGCAUUGUGGACGCAACUUGGCGGACAUUUUCGCCACGUGGAAGCGUCAUCCAGCGGCGUAGUCUGGGCCUUGGGUCAGGAUGGAACUUGCUGGAUUCACACAGGCUACCACGGGGGCGGGUUUUUCAAAGGAGUUUUUGAUGGGAAUUCUCAUGGAAUCCAUCCUGUCAGUGACGAGGGGCUUGUUAAUCUUUAUGAGAACCAACGUUGGAACCCUGUGGUUCGACACACUUGUUUACAUACCUACUGCCAGAGAAAAUUUGAGUUAACUCCUGUUGUUGUAUACUUACAGGCUGGAUUUUCAGCUCGUGGCUUGCCCACUGAUAGGCCGCCCUGGAGCGACAUAACCGGGUUUCAUACUUACAGUAAAGAAAAUAUGUCGCUUCCAAAUCGAAGUUGGAAAUGGGUUUCUGAAUGGUUGGUUGAUUACCAACCUCCUGGUGGAGCUGACAGGGAAGGAUGGCAAUAUGCGACAGACUAUCCGUCUCGUUACCAUGCACACAAAGGUUCCUUUGAUUACGUCAGACGUAAGCGCUGGCAGCGCAAAUGUCGGUACACAAGUACUGGACCAUGGUUUCAGUUUGGUCUAACGAAGUUAUUAGACGUUUCGAUGCAGGUUGAUCACAGCGGAAGUCCAGAAGAACCGCUUUUAUUGUGGGCUAUUGCAACCAAUGGUUCCAUCCUGCGUCGGGUAGGAGUGACUGUGAUAAAACCGCAAGGUGAUUCAUGGGAAGCAGUGUUAGGCGAGCAUGCUUUCCAAUCUUUGUCGAUUGGAGUAGAGGGACGAGUGUGGGCAAUUACUUCAUUGGGAGCGCCAGCUUUGCGACACAGAGUAACCAACACCAAUCCUGACGGGGUAGCUUGGCUUUUGAUGGAUCGACCCGAAGGCAGUGCCACUCUUCGCCAAAUCUCAGCAGGCGAUACCCAAGUAUGGGCAGUGGACUCCCAGGAUCGCUUGUAUCGACGCAAGGAUAUCGUGCCCAUAUUGCCAGAAGGAACUUCGUGGGAGCUGGUCGAUGAGCAUGUCUUACAUGUGUCUGUAGGGAGACAUGACCAAUGAAUGAAACCAAAGUAAAAGAGAAAGGUUCCAUUUGUAUCCGAAGAGGAAUAACUGCAUCUUGUCCUGUCGGCACUGGAUGGGAGUUUGUAAUUGGGGGUGGUUGGAGUUUUGUCUGCAAUCGCGGACAUGACAUUCCAUUUUAACAAAUGCAAGUUUCGUGUUCAUUUGCAUGUGUCAAUCAAGAGAACAGCCGUGUUCAGAUUACUUUA